rnacentral:rRNA from 1 species
UACGUAGGGGGCAAGCGUUGUCCGGAAUCAUUGGGCGUAAAGAGCGUGUAGGCGGCUCGAUAAGUCCGCUGUGAAAGUCCAGGGCUCAACCCUGGAAGGCCGGUGGAAACUGUCGGGCUAGAGUCCGGAAGAGGCGAGUGGAAUCCCGGUGUAGCGGUGAAAUGCGCAGAUAUCGGGAGGAACACCAAUGGCGAAGGCAGCUCGCUGGGACGGUACUGACGCUGAGACGCGAAAAGCGUGGGGAGCAAACAGGGAUUAAGAAAC